rnacentral:lncRNA from 1 species
UGACACAGUGUAGAUGUUGUGGUGGUGGGGGAAGGAAAGUUCCAUCUGGAUGACACAGUGUAGAUGUUGUGGUGGUGGGGGAAGGAAAGUUCCAUCUGGAUUACAUAGUGUAGAUGUUGUGGUGGUGGGGGAAGGAAAGUUCCACCUGGAUGACACAGUGUAGAUGUUGUGGUGGUGGUGGAAGGAAAGUUCCAUCUGGAUGACACAGUGUAGAUGUUGUGGUGGUGGGGGAAGGAAAGUUCCAUCUGGAUGACACAGUGUAGAUGUUGUGGUGGUGGGGGAAGGAAAGUUCCAUCUGGAUGACACAGUGUAGAUGUUGUGGUGGUGGGGGAAGGAAAGGUCCAUCUGGAUGACACAGUGUAGAUGUUGUGGUGGUGGGGGAAGGAAAGUUCCAUCUGGAUGACACAGUGUAGAUGUUGUGGUGGUGGGGGAAGGAAAGUUCCAUCUGGAUGACACAGUGUAGAUGUUGUGGUGGUGGGAAGGAAAGUUCCAUCUGGAUGACACAGUGUAGAUGUUGUGGUGGUGGGGGAAGGAAAGGUCCAUCUGGAUUACACAGUGUAGAUGUUGUGGUGGUGGGAAGGAAAGUUCCAUCUGGAUGACACAG